rnacentral:miRNA from 1 species
GCUGAUCAGUAGUGGGACUGCACCUGUGAAUAGCCACUGCACUCCAGCCUGGGCAACAUAGCGAGACCGUGUCUCUU